rnacentral:rRNA from 1 species
UAGGGAAUCUUCGGCAAUGGACGAAAGUCUGACCGAGCAACGCCGCGGGAGUGAAGAAGGUUUUCGGAUCGUAAAACUCUGUUGUUAGAGAAGAACAAGGACGUUAGUAACUGAACGUCCCCUGACGGUAUCUAACCAGAAAGCCACGGCUAACUACGUGCCAGCAGCCGCGGUAAUACGUAGGUGGCAAGCGUUGUCCGGAUUUAUUGGGCGUAAAGCGAGCGCAGGCGGUUUCUUAAGUCUGAUGUGAAAGACCCCGGCUCAACCGGGGAGGGUCAUUGGAAACUGGGAGCCUUGAGUGCAGAAGAGGAGAGUGGAAUUCCAUGUGUAGCGGUGAAAUGCGUAGAUAUGUGGCGGAACACCAGUGGCGAAGGCGGCUCUCUGGUCUGUAACUGACGCUGAGGCUCGACAGCGUGGGGAGCAAACAGG